rnacentral:misc_RNA from 1 species
UCCUUCUAGAAAUGGACCAGCCAG